GAUCAUGGCUCAGAGCGAACGCUGGCGGCAGGCUUAACACAUGCAAGUCGAGCGGAUGUAGCAAUACAUCAGCGGCAGACGGGUGAGUAACACGUGGGAACGUACCUUUUGGUUCGGAACAACACAGGGAAACUUGUGCUAAUACCGGAUAAGCCCUUACGGGGAAAGAUUUAUCGCCGAAAGAUCGGCCCGCGUCUGAUUAGCUAGUUGGUGAGGUAAUGGCUCACCAAGGCGACGAUCAGUAGCUGGUCUGAGAGGAUGAUCAGCCACAUUGGGACUGAGACACGGCCCAAACUCCUACGGGAGGCAGCAGUGGGGAAUAUUGGACAAUGGGCGCAAGCCUGAUCCAGCCAUGCCGCGUGAGUGAUGAAGGCCCUAGGGUUGUAAAGCUCUUUUGUGCGGGAAGAUAAUGACGGUUC
rnacentral:rRNA from 1 species